UACAGAGGUCUCAAGCGUUGUUCGGAUUCAUUGGGCGUAAAGGGUGCGUAGGUGGCGCGCUAAGUCAGGUGUGAAAUUUCGGAGCUUAACUCCGAAACUGCAUUAGAAACUACAGGGCUAGAGGCUUGGAGGGGGAACUGGAAUUCUCGGUGUAGCAGUGAAAUGCGUAGAGAUCGAGAGGAACACCAGUGGCGAAGGCGAGUUCCUGGACAAGUCCUGACGCUGAGGCACGAAAGCCAGGGGAGCAAACAGG
rnacentral:rRNA from 1 species